CCUACGGGUGGCAGCAGUGAGGAAUAUUGGUCAAUGGCCGGAAGGCUGAACCAGCCAAGUCGCGUGAGGGACGACUGCCCUAUGGGUUGUAAACCUCUUUUAUAAGGGAAGAAUCAAUGCUAUGUGUAGCCUGAUGCCUGUACCUUAUGAAUAAGCAUCGGCAAACUCCGUGCCCGCAGCCGCGGUACUACGGGGGAUGCGAGCGUUAUCCGGAUUUCUUGGUGUUAACGGGUGCGUAGGGGGUUUUUUAAGUUAGUGGGUAAACGUCGGGGCUUCACCUUGAUUUGCCAUUAAUACUGUUAGACUCGAGUACAGACGAGGGAGGCGGAAUAAGUUAAGUAGCGGUGAAAGGCUUAGAUAU
rnacentral:rRNA from 1 species